AUGCGGCCAUAAAACGUUGAAACACCGGUUCUCGUCCGAUCAUCGAAGUUGAGGCUGGUCAGUACUCAGAUGGUUGAUCGCUGGGGAGUACUAGGUGCUGUAU